AAGGCUGGGGCGUCUCCAGCCGCCAGGCCCUGGAGCUUUGCGGGUGCAUCAGGGUUCCAGACCGCCCAGGUUUGAACAGCGCUGCCACGCACGUCUGUCAACUUCGGCGAAUGGCUCCUCCUCACUCUCCCCAUCUGCGGCAUGGGCACCAUCAAAGCCCCGGGUGACGCAGCUCCAGGGAGCCUGCAGCAGGCGCCUCCCGGCUGCCCUGACCGCCACGUCCCGGGCUACAGCGGCCACUCUGGGUGCUCAUCACUGGAGGGUGGGAGCCCAGAGUCCUGCUCACAGUCAAGUGUCUUUGUGGUCUGGAGACCCAGAGCUCUCCCAGAAUCGACCUGAAGAAUCUCAUUCUCGGCUCCCCAGGGAGUGCCACUGCCCGUCCCGGUUCCAGAGGCUGCUCUGCUUCCCCGGAGGAAGAGCCCAGUGACCUGAUUUCACCCGAGCCCCAAGGAGGGGCCCGGCAGGGUGAGGAAAGCUUGGGGGAGCUGGAUCGGGUGCCGGCUGCAGGGCCGCAGGCUGGACCCUGCUAGGACAGCCACCAGUGGCGGAACAGCUGAGCCCACACCUGCUUGAAACCAGCCAGGGCAGGUGGCAAAGGGCAGGCUGGACCCUCAGCCUCGGACCUCGCCCAGGGAACCAGGAGACGCCUCACAGGAGUGGCUCGCACCUGCCGCUCUGGGACUCCCUGGACCUCACCCCACUGGGGAGGCUGCAUCACACACAGGCUCCUGCUGCAGCAAAAUACGGCACCUCAAAGAGGUCGCAAGCUGAGAGUUCCCCAGCCUGGUGACCCAGCCCAUGCCGCCCUGACCGCCAGCCCUCAGACAGCCUUGCUUGAACGGCCUCUGCACGUCCCGCAGGCUCUCGUCUCCCUGGGCCAUGCUGAGUGCUCAGCUACCAUACCUGGUGUGGGGCGCAGUGGCCAGUCAGGCCCCACCCAGGUGUGGGACACCUAUGGCUCUUCCUCUUUUGUUCCAGAGCCGUGGCCACAUGGCCACAGGGGAGUAGCACUGGACACAGAGCAGAGCCAGCCACGUCCCCAGGGAGGUGUGCACAGGCCAGAGAGUGCCACGGAAGCAAGAGGGAGGGGCUGGCGGCAACAAGGAAGGGCAGGAGGGGCUGCCAGGAGGAGGAGACAGGAGGGCUCCUGAGAGGAGAUGAGACAGAAAGCACUGUUAGCUGC